GUUAGCUGACGAGUCCCAAGCAGGACGAAAUGUGCAUCCUGGAU
rnacentral:hammerhead_ribozyme from 1 species